rnacentral:rRNA from 1 species
UGAACGCUGGCGGCAUGCCUUACACAUGCAAGUCGAACGGCAGCACGGGAGCAAUCCUGGUGGCGAGUGGCGAACGGGUGAGUAAUGUAUCGGAACGUACCUUUCAGUGGGGGAUAACGUAGCGAAAGUUACGCUAAUACCGCAUAUUCUGUGAGCAGGAAAGCAGGGGAUCGCAAGACCUUGCGCUGAUUGAGCGGCCGAUAUCAGAUUAGCUAGUUGGUGAGGUAAAGGCUCACCAAGGCGACGAUCUGUAGCGGGUCUGAGAGGAUGAUCCGCCACACUGGAACUGAGACACGGUCCAGACUCCUACGGGAGGCAGCAGUGGGGAAUUUUGGACAAUGGGGGCAACCCUGAUCCAGCCAUGCCGCGUGAGUGAAGAAGGCCUUCGGGUUGUAAAGCUCUUUCAGCCGGGAAGAAAUCACAUGGGUUAAUACCCUGUGUGGAUGACGGUACCGGAAUAAGAAGCACCGGCUAACUACGUGCCAGCAGCCGCGGUAAUACGUAGGGUGCGAGCGUUAAUCGGAAUUACUGGGCGUAAAGCGUGCGCAGGCGGUUUGUUAAGAUAGGCGUGAAAUCCCCGGGCUCAACCUGGGAACUGCGUUUAUGACUGGCAGGCUAGAGUAUGGCAGAGGGGGGUGGAAUUCCACGUGUAGCAGUGAAAUGCGUAGAGAUGUGGAGGAACACCGAUGGCGAAGGCAGCCCCCUGGGCCAAUACUGACGCUCAUGCACGAAAGCGUGGGUAGCAAACAGGAUUAGAUACCCUGGUAGUCCACGCCCUAAACGAUGUCAACUAGGUGUUGGGUGGGUAAAACCAUUUAGUACCGGAGCUAACGCGUNAAG